GGGAAUUUCUUCUACAGCUGCAUACACAAGAGGAAAUGCAUUUUUACUUCGCAGAAGGAAGAUAAGGCAUUGGCUUUCCACUUUGCAACAGAACAUUUUUCAUCUUGGCUUGAACCAAGCUGGGAAGAAAGGAAUGUUAUUUGAGACAGAAGGGGAGUGUGCUCACAAGGGACGUUUGUCGCCCUGUGCAACUUCAUCGUGUAGAGAAAGAAACCUUUGGGUCAUUCAUACGUUUUCAAGAGCUCCAGCAUCCCUGUGUGGAGAGAGACCAGGAUGCUGAGGCCGUUCUCAGCUUGUGCAAGACAAAGGUGAUGGUUGCCCAGGUUGGGUCUUUUUGGUUUUGCAGAAAGAAGCUGCUAUUGUGCUCUAUGAAGUCAUGC
rnacentral:lncRNA from 1 species